UCUCCUGAGGAGCUCCCCAGCCUGACAAGCAGCCAGCCCCCCAUGGAUAAGCAGGCACUGAUAGAGGCCAGGCAACACCGCUUACGGCCUUGUGCAUGCUGCCUGUGCUGCAAAACUCCAGGUUUGAACCCUGUAUAAAACGUAGACUGAAACUUGUCCCGGAUGGCCCACACUACGCAGGAUGGCAGCACACGCCUAUCUCCCUCUUCGAGGCGCCCCCAAAGCCACGAUGCACAUUGUUUCAAGGAAAGUGUUUGACGAUCACACAAGAAGCAGCACAAUUUGAGAUAAGACAUGUAAGAACAAACUCAAGAAAAAGACUGCAUAGUGACAACUCAAAGAAUAAAUACAGUCACCAAUGAGGAGCAAAGAGCAAACUUUACUCAAAGGUAACUCAAUGGCAUUUCCUCCCUCAGGCAAAUAUUGGAAACUGCUAAUUUUGUUUUCCACUUUCCUCGAGCGUAAGAGCCCCAGAAUUCCAGCAAGGCAUCAGUACCAAAUUUGUGCCAAAUUAUUUUGGAUUUCAUCAGGUGUCACUGCAACUAAGGAGCAGCAUUUCAUUGCCUGGAGAAAAGCAUACAGCCACCGAUGAGGAACAAAGAGCAAACUUUACUCAAAGGUGUCACUGCAACUAAGGAACAGCAUUUCAUUGCCUGGAGAAAGGCAUACAGCCACCGAUGAGGAACAAAGAGCAAACUUUACUCAAAGGUAACUCAAUG